GCAAGUCGAGGGGCAGCAUAAAUUACUUGUAAUUUGAUGGCGACCGGCGAACGGGUGCGUAACGCGUAUGCAACCUACCUUUUACUAGAGAAUAGCCAAGAGAAAUUUUGAUUAAUGCUCUAUACACUUUAAGACUCACAUGAGUCUAAAAGAAAAGCUCCGGCGGUAAAAGAUGGGCAUGCGUUCUAUUAGCUUGUAGGUGAGGUAACGGCUCACCUAAGCUUCGAUAGACAGGGGUCCUGAGAGGGAGACCCCCCACACUGGUACUGAGACACGGACCAGACUUCUACGGAAGGCAGCAGUAAGGAAUAUUGGACAAUGGAGGCAACUCUGAUCCAGCCAUGCCGCGUGAAGGAAGAAGGCCCUAUGGGUCGUAAACUUCUUUUAUACAGGAAGAAAUCUUUCCACGUGUGGAAAGUUGACGGUACUGUAAGAAUAAGGAUCGGCUAACUCCGUGCCAGCAGCCGCGGUAAUACGGAGGAUCCAAGCGUUAUCCGGAAUUAUUGGGUUUAAAGGGUCCGCAGGCUGUUUGUUAAGUUAGAGGUGAAAUCCCACCGCUCACCGGUAUAACUGCCUUUAAAACUGGCAAACUUGAGUUAUU
rnacentral:rRNA from 1 species